rnacentral:lncRNA from 1 species
UCAGAUUCAUCUGUUAUUCUUGGUUUAACAUCUGGAGUUCUGCUUGCAUCCAUAGGUGCCUGAAGUUUGUACUUUUAGCAAACCUACAUAAUGAACAGCAAGAGAGGACAGCAAGGCAGAAGGAACCUACCAAGCCACUUGUUGACACUGCAGGCAAGAUCCGAUCAGGCCGCUCGGCAUUCACUGCUAUAGGACUGGAGACAUUUGAAACAGGACCAAGGGCAACAAUUGGAGGCUGCAUUAAAACCAAACAUGGGAAUAAGAUAAUAACAAACCUUGUCAAUGUCACCAAAUUCCCAACAAAAGUUAACAUAAAAAGUAGGCAGCUAAGCGGUGAAGUUUCUAAUCAAACAAAUCAGUUGACUACUUAACUCAAAACCCCUUCUAGUGUAUCUUCUCAAAGAACCAUAAGCAAGAAAGAAAGAGUUAGCUUUUGUCUGCCACAAAUGUGGCAACAAUGACUAACUAUGCCCGGCAGUAGUUCACCACAACUCUAGAAGCAGCAAGCAAGAUACUAGCAUCUGAUAGGCACAUUUGCCUGAGUUGUGGCAAAGUGCAGCACUGAACCAAGGGGGUCUCAUAGGGUCUAACAAAAUUUUCAGCAUGACAAAGAAGAAUAAAAGUAAAUAUAACCAAAUUAUGUAAUACUCAGUAAGUUUAUGUAACACUACCUUGGCAUUUAUUUGUUGAGGAGGUCCUCUAGAACCCUCAAAUGCUCUACUUUCCAGCAUCCUAAGCAACCUCUGCCCAUCAGUGUUGGCAAGUAUUUUAAUCCCGUUGUCACUAGUUGUAACAGCGAGUAACGAGCCUUCUCUAUUGAAUCUCAAACGAGGGCUUGCCUGCAAAUUAUCAGUAAAAGAGUGUUAAGAAGAUAUUCAGUAUGGGCAAGUCAGAUAAUAGACAAAAAAGGGAUACUAACAGGCAGUCCACCAUCACAAUCUGUUGUUGUUAGUAUGUUAGUGUUAUCCAUAUCCCAGAAUUUAACAAGAAAUUCAUCUCCAGCAGCCAAGAAGCGGUUCCUGGUUGUGUCAAACUGAACAACACCGAGCGAACGUUUCCUGAAGCCAUUGUAUGUCCUCUUAAUAGCCCCUUCAGUUUCAUUCCACUCAACCAAGUGGGAAUCACCUUCUUUACUGGUACCGCAAGAGAAGAGC